UACGUAGGGUGCGAGCGUUGUCCGGAAUUAUUGGGCGUAAAGAGCUCGUAGGCGGUGUGUCACGUCGGCCGUGAAAACCUGCAGCUUAACUGUGGGCGUGCGGUCGAUACGGGCAUCACUGGAGUUCGGCAGGGGAGACUGGAAUUCCUGGUGUAGCGGUGAAAUGCGCAGAUAUCAGGAGGAACACCGGUGGCGAAGGCGGGUCUCUGGGCCGAUACUGACGCUGAGGAGCGAAAGCCAGGGGAGCAAACAGG
rnacentral:rRNA from 1 species